rnacentral:rRNA from 1 species
AGUGAACGCUGGCGGUAGGCCUAACACAUGCAAGUCGAACGGCAGCACAGUAAGAGCUUGCUCUUACGGGUGGCGAGUAGCGGACGGGUGAGGAAUACAUCGGAAUCUACUUUUUCGUGGGGGACAACGGAGGGAAACAUAUGCUAAUACAGCAUAAGACCUGAGGGUGGAAGCUGGGGAUCUUCGGACCUUGGCUGCAUGAAUGAGCCGAUGUCGGAUUAGCUAGCUGGCGGGUAAAGGGACAACCAAGGCACGGAUCCGUAGCUGGCCUGAGAGGAUGACCGCCAACACGGGAACGAGGACACGGUCCAACCUCCUACGGGAGGCAGCAGUGGGGAAUAUUGGACAAUGGGCCCAAGCCUGAUCCAGCCAUACGGGGUGGGUGAGGAAGGCUUUCGAUUUGUAAAGCCCUUUGUUUGGGAAAGAAGAGCAGCAGGUUGAUACCCCCCUGUUCUGACGGUACCCAAAGAAUAAGCACCGGCUAACUUCGUG